rnacentral:pre_miRNA from 1 species
AAAGUACUCCCUCCGUCCCAAAAUUCAUGUCUUAGAUUUGUCUAGAUACGGAUGUAUCAAGUCACAUUUUAGUAUUAGAUACAUCUGUAUCUAGAAAAAUCUAAGACAAGAAAUUUGGGACAGAGGGAGUAGUUG